rnacentral:rRNA from 1 species
AGCGAACGCUGGCGGCAGGCCUAACACAUGCAAGUCGAACGAACCUUUCGGGGUUAGUGGCGGACGGGUGAGUAACACGUGGGAACGUGCCUUUAGGUUCGGAAUAACUCAGGGAAACUUGUGCUAAUACCGAAUGUGCCCUUCGGGGGAAAGAUUUAUCGCCUUUAGAGCGGCCCGCGUCUGAUUAGCUAGUUGGUUGAGGUAAUGGCUCACCAAGGCGACGAUCAGUAGCUGGUCUGAGAGGAUGAUCAGCCACAUUGGGACUGAGACACGGCCCAAACUCCUACGGGAGGCGGCAGUGGGGAAUCUUGCGCAAUGGGCGAAAGCCUGACGCAGCCAUGCCGCGUGAAUGAUGAAGGUCUUAGGAUUGUAAAAUUCUUUCACCGGGGACGAUAAUGACGGUACCCGGAGAAGAAGCCCCGGCUAACUUCGUG